CACACCAUAGAACUAAUGGCCUUAGUCUAUUACCUGUCAGAACCCUUUAGAACAACGUUGUAUUCGGGCUAAAAUCUAUCCAUUUAGCUAAAUUCAUUCUCUUCUUCACCGUUAAUUUGUAUUUAACUACAUUCAACUGGUGGCUUUAACUACUUGGAACAGAACUUGUGCGUGACAGCAGCUUAUCGACCUGUUAGAGAGUUGAUUCAGCAGGAGAGGUUGAAGGAUAUGGAAACGAGGAGGAGAGAAGAAUCUGGCCAGAGUUCGGAAGAUUCUUCUGAGAAAAAAGAAGAGAAUGAGGAAAGAGUAAUAAUUACUUUGGGGCCUUUAAACAUGGAAGAUAUGAGACAACCGAAGAAGCAGGUUGCCGCCAGCUUUGCUUCUGAAGGAUCAGUAAUGAGCGAGCUGAAGCAAUGGUACGAGUUGUAUGGAG